GAUGAACGCUAGCUACAGGCUUAACACUUGCAAGUCGCGGGGCAGCAUGGGGGUUGCUUGCAACUCCCGAUGGCGACCGGCGCACGGGUGAGUAACGCGUAUCCAACCUGCCCUUCACCACGGGAUAACCCGGCGAAAGUCGGACUAAUACCGUAUGUUGUCCAUUGACGGCAUCCGAUUUGGACGAAAGGCUUUGCGGUGAAGGAUGGGGAUGCGUCCGAUUAGCCAGACGGCGGGGUAACGGCCCACCGUGGCUACGAUCGGUAGGGGUUCUGAGAGGAAGGUCCCCCACACUGGAACUGAGACACGGUCCAGACUCCUACGGGAGGCAGCAGUGAGGAAUAUUGGUCAAUGGGCGUAAGCCUGAACCAGCCAAGUAGCGUGCAGGAUGACGGCCCUAUGGGUGGUAAACUGCUUUUAUGCGGGGAUAAAGUGGCCCACGUGUGGGCUUUUGCAGGUACCGCAUGAAUAAGGACCGGCUAAUUCCGUG
rnacentral:rRNA from 1 species